UACAGAGGUCUCAAGCGUUGUUCGGAUUCAUUGGGCGUAAAGGGUGCGUAGGCGGCGCGGUAAGUCGGGUGUGAAAUCUCGGAGCUUAACUCCGAAACUGCAUUCGAUACUGCCGUGCUUGAGGACUGGAGAGGAGACUGGAAUUUACGGUGUAGCGGUGAAAUGCGUAGAUAUCGUAAGGAAGACCAGUGGCGAAGGCGGGUCUCUGGACAGUUCCUGACGCUGAGGAACGAAGGCCAGGGGAGCAAACGGG
rnacentral:rRNA from 1 species